UUUCAAUGGGAAAUCGCUGAUCAGAAAUUUUGAAAAAGAUAUGGAGUCGGGUGGGAUGUUUCGGGAUUUCGGCUAAAAUAUAAAGACGCAGGAUGUGAUCGGGGAGGCUAAAAUUAAAAAAAAAAACAAAAGAGCGAACUGGAGGUGAACUAAUGCCGGCGUCUAUGGAUUCUCAAUCUGCAAGGCGGCUUUGCUCUGGUACUGAAGUCGAAUCUGCCGACAAGGAAAAUCUGCUUAUUCGUCAAUUGCCUAAAUUAGUAAGUGUCAAGAAAUUGGAGCUGAGAGUUCACGGACUUGGAGAUGCGAGUCUACUUCCAUUGACUCUCCUGAUCGAGGCAUGUCCAUGCAUGUAGAGCUUUGUGUUUGAGUUGAUGGACCCACGGGAGAUGCUAUGCAGGCAAAGGGAACUGAAAAGAGUUGUUCAAGCUCCCCAUCGAUACCUAAAGGAGGUUGAAUUUUCCAAUUAUUAUGGUCGACCUUGUGAUCAUGAACUAGUGAAUUACCUUGACGAGAAUGCCUUUAACCUUGAGAAGCUAGUGGUGAAUCCCUGUGAAGAAGAAUGG